rnacentral:misc_RNA from 1 species
GGAGACAAAGCAAGAUGUUUCCGGAAAAGCUGCAAGCCCAUGUCCCAUAAUGAACGUACGUUUGGGGUUUGUUUCACAUAUGUUCUAUCUAGAUACAAGGCUAUACCGCGAAUCAUCAACAUUUGGUCACAUAGAUCCUGCCAGCAUCUCUCAACCAGGGAUAAGAAAACCACCAAAUCCGGGCUUUGACCAACCAAAGAUUGUAAUACUGCAUAAAUAUGGGAUUCACAUUCUUUUUCAAUUCGCUGAUAAAGAUUACUGCCCAUCUUAUGCAGACAAAGAUCAUUGACAGCCUGAUAAAGCUUCUCCAAGUCACAGGAAUCUGGUUGCUUCAAGAAUAUAGCUUUAAUAGCUGACUGCAGCUUUGCCCAUGUAUCCUCCUCGAAAUUUGCAGGCAGUGUUGGUUUAGCCUUCACGAGCUUGAUGACAAGCUUCUUCGCGGGCUGAGGAGGAGUGGCUUUUUUGCGAGAUAAAUUUGCGGCUGGGGGGGGGGAGCGGGCGUCAAGCUUGGGAUCGUCAUCGAGAGUCAUGGAAGAGGGGUCGAAUACGACGUCGUUAUCGGCAGCAGUGCUGGGAAUGAAGUUAUGGAGGCCGUUUUUGUUACAAGAUGGGUCGAGAGAGGAGCACGCAGAGACAGCCUGAGACUUGGCCUUCUUCAUAGGAGGAAAAUUAGCUGUGGCGCUGGUGGAGGAACUAGAGGUGGUGGUGGCGGUGGUAGUGGCAGAGCGUUUGGUGGGGAGAGACAU